AUAGUUCCAAUUUUAUCACUUUUUUUUAAAGAAAAUCUUGUUUUAUCCAAAAUCAAAUUAUAUAUACUAAAAUGUUUUUCUUAAAUUUCCUUUUAAAAAUUCCCAACCCGCUCUCAUCUGUCUUCCCCAAGUAAGCCUCUCACCGCCGCUCUGCCCCCGGCUUCGGCUUUCUCUCCUUCCAGUCCCUGAACCAACUCCGUUCAACUUAUCGGCACCCCUGGGAAUUGAAUAGGUGCCUGUCGCAAGUUGUCUCCUGCCUUCCAAGUUUUAGACAGGUCAGGGAUUAAUUAAGUGCCUGGCGCAAGUUGUCUCCUGCCUUCUAGUUUUCGACAGAGCAGGGAGUUAAAUAAGAUUCAGCUAUGGACAUUGACCAUUACAACGUCCUGGGUUUGCCUUCCGGCGAGGAAGGAGCUAAUUUGACUCAAAAAGAAAUUACCAAGGCUUACAGAGAAAAAGCCCGUGAUCUUCAUCCUGAUAAACGAAAAGAUGACCCAAAUGCUCAUGAGAACUUCAUAAAGCUCAAAUCCUCAUACGAAAUUCUGGUUGAUGAAAAAGCCCGAAAGCUCUUUGAUGAUCUCCUCCGGGUGAAACGUGAACAGCAACGUCGUUUUGCACAGCAAGACUCAAAGCGACGAAAAAUGAUGUCAGAUUUGGAAGAUAGGGAACGUGCUUCAUUUGCACCAGAUCCUGCCAUGAAGGCUAAAGAGGAAGAGGAGAGAAUUGCUAGGAAAUUGAAAGAGGAGAUUGCAAGGAUACGUGCAAUGCAAGCAAAUAAAGGUGCAAGUAUGGGGACGGGCUCAGGUCAAGAAAAGGUGGGGAGAGAAGGGAACAGUGGGGUUGGGGGCCAUGUGGGAGUGGAUAAAGAGAGAGUUUUAAAGGUUUCUUGGGAAAAAAUUGGCGAAGGUUAUACAGCGGAGAAGUUAAGGGAACUGUUUUCUAGGUUUGGUGAAGUUGAAGAUAUUGUAGUGAACAGUUCAAAGAAAAAGGGGUCUGCGCUUGUUGUCAUGGCUACAAAACAUGCAGUUGAUUCUGCUACAGGCAGUGUUAGUGGGAAUCUAGAUAAUCCAUUGUUAGUUGUGCCUCUUAAACCCUCUGUUGCGGAGUUUCCAGCCCCCAAGAAGGAAGAGCAAAGUGAUCGAUUGAGUAAUUUGGUUGGAGCUGGUUACCAAGCUUUUGAAGAUGCUGUUUUAAAUAAACUGACAAAGGCUGCCGAAAAACAACAAAAAUGAUGACAAAAAGGUCUUAGGAGCAGAUUGCAAAUGCAUCAGUGGCAUUUUAUCCACAGAUGUUUUGCCAACAUGUCCUAAGUUCGGGAUUGAAUUUCAGCUUUCUGAAGUUUACCUUUUAAGAAGAGAGAUGAACCAUUCGGGUUAAAGACACAAGUUCUUAUGAUGAAACCAAGGGUUAUGUGAAGCAACCAUGGGAUAUGGGGCUGAUUUUGAGCGUUUCCUUGUUGCCCCAUGCUUGGUCAAAUGAAGGAAAAGUGGGCAUCUCGAUGAUGGGAGGCUCAGGCUGUUCUUUUUGGGGUUGGGUGGUUGGUUAAGAUGCAGCCAUGCUGGUCAAUUUUGGUGAGGUGGAGAGUGACCCAAAGCUUCUUGCAGGCAGUGAUUCAACAAUAUCAUCGAUUUCCUUGUGUUCAUAGAGAUUUCUUUUACUCGUACUAUAAACUGGAAACAAACCUGCCCUUAUUUAGCAGGCUUUGCCGUAGGUGAUGGUAACGCCGUGCGGUACCAAGAGUUCACCAAAUCGUAUUAGUUAAUGGCUUUGCAAUGAUUUUACAAAAUGGUGCAUUUCUUUUUUUCAUUUUUGCGGACUAAAUUUGUAACAAGGUAUUUUUUUUAAAUAAAAAAUAUCAUACAUGGUAUCACAUUAUAGCCUUCUUGUAAUAUAGGGUGUAAUUGUAAUUUAAUUACAGCUCAUGUCUUAGGAAA